GACCUUGUAGCUCAGUUGGUAGGGCAUUGGACUAGUAUCCCAAAGGUUGCGGGUUCGAUUCCCACCGUGGUCA
rnacentral:tRNA from 1 species